rnacentral:rRNA from 1 species
AUGACGGCCAUGCAGAAGACUGUGGGAGCCGAGAGCAUGACCAAGAAGGCGCAGCCGUACCGCGGCCCAAGAAGGUCGCAGAUGGCGCCCAUGGCCAGCCUGGAGAAGAUAGACCCUGACACGGACGCCACUCCGGCAUUGCCGAUGUCGGCCUUGGCGAGGUUGAGGUUGUCGCGGAUGAUGGGGACGAGCGGCGCGGCAGCGAAGGUGGAGACGAAGCAGGUGAAGAAGGAGAUCCAGGAGAGGUGGAAGGUGCGCAUGUGGGGGUUGGCAAAGGAGAAGAGCCUAAAUGACUUGGCCUUGUGCUCCGAGUCCACCGGCAACGAGAACUUGCUCGCCGGCGCGUCGCCAUGCGAGCUCGCCUCCACCUCCAUUAUCUACUGA